UCGCCUCUUUGUUCAUCCUCCUUUUCCGCCUUUGUCUAUGUUGCACUUCCCUCAACUAGUGUUUUCAGCUCCUUUUGCUGUGGGUGAUCAACUUUCUUCAUCCCUCCAUGGAUGUCUUCUUCUUGCUAAACUUGCAGAAGUGUGUUACCCGGUGGACGUCCAUGAGUUCAGCUGGAACUCAAAGGAGGUUUAGAACAUUGAUUCUCGUCUGCCUAGAUCUGACUAAAGCUGAAGUGGUGAAAAACAAGUUGCUCCCGACCACCGUCCUUCAGUAAUGGCAAAUGAGUUCAAGUGCUUAGUUUUCAAAUCUAUUCCCCAACCUUCGAUUUUUGCUAGAGUACCUUUUUGGUGGCUCAUAUACCAUAGUCUAGUUAGCAUUCUCACAUUUGUUGUACCUAUGAGCCGACCACAAACUAUCUUGUAAUUAAUAUAGCUGUGACACACUGUGGUCCUUUUAUUGCUUGUUAUCAUGAC